rnacentral:rRNA from 1 species
GGACGAACGCUGGCGGCGCGCCUAACCCAUGCAAGUCGAACGGAGCUGAGAGAAGCUUGCUUUUCUUAGCUUAGUGGCGAACGGGUGAGUAACGCGUGAGUAACCUGCCCUGGAGUGGGGGACAACAGUUGGAAACGACUGCUAAUACCGCAUAAGCCCACGAUCCGGCAUCGGAUUGAGGGAAAAGGAUUUAUUCGCUUCAGGAUGGACUCGCGUCCAAUUAGCUAGUUGGUGAGGUAACGGCCCACCAAGGCGACGAUUGGUAGCCGGACUGAGAGGUUGAACGGCCACAUUGGGACUGAGACACGGCCCAGACUCCUACGGGAGGCAGCAGUGGGGGAUAUUGCACAAUGGGGGAAACCCUGAUGCAGCGACGCCGCGUGGAGGAAGAAGGUUUUCGGAUUGUAAACUCCUGUCGUGAGGGACGAUAAUGACGGUACCUAACAAGAAAGCACCGGCUAACUACGUG